UACAGAGGGGGCAAGCGUUAUUCGGAAUUAUUGGGCGUAAAGGGCGCGUAGGCGGCCUGGCAAGUGGAAGGUGAAAUCCCUCGGCUUAACCGAGGAACUGCCCUCCAAACUGCUAGGCUUGAGUCCGGGAGAGGUGAGUGGAAUUCCCAGUGUAGCGGUGAAAUGCGUAGAUAUUGGGAGGAACACCAGUGGCGAAGGCGGCUCACUGGACCGGAACUGACGCUGAGGCGCGAAAGCGUGGGUAGCAAACAGG
rnacentral:rRNA from 1 species